rnacentral:rRNA from 1 species
CAGCAGCCGCGGGAAUACGGAGGGUGCAAGCGUUAAUCGGAAUUACUGGGCGUAAAGCGCACGCAGGCGGUUUGUUAAGUCAGAUGUGAAAUCCCCGAGCUUAACUUGGGAACUGCAUUUGAAACUGGCAAGCUAGAGUCUUGUAGAGGGGGGUAGAAUUCCAGGUGUAGCGGUGGAAUGCGUAGAGAUCUGGAGGAAUACCGGUGGCGAAGGCGGCCCCCUGGACAAAGACUGACGCUCAGGUGCGAAAGCGUGGGGAGCAAACAGGAUUAGAUACCCCUGUAGUCCCUGUCUCUUAUAC